UACUUCUUUUUUUUUUUUUUUUUUUUUUUACAGUUUCUGUCCCUAUUUACGUUCAGUGAAUGGAAAAGGGCAGCCUGGACAUUCUAUAGAAUAAGGCGAGAUGGAACUGUAGGAAGAAGCUGAAGAAGUUGAGAAAUACAUGCUGGCAGUUAUUCUGAAAAUGUCUGUUUCCCACCGGAAUGAAACUUAUACAGGCAAAACAAUGAAAAGCCCCCUCCGUUGGAGAGAGAGAGAGAGAGAAAGAGAGGGAUGGAAUGAGAAAGAGAGCGAGUGAAACCGAGUGAGUCAUGAGUGCAGCUUUGAACAACAAGGGGAAAUCCUCCUAUUGAGAGGCAUGCGCUGUGGAAACGCAUCACUCAUAGAGAUUUCUCCGAGGUUUUCUCAAGGCUUCCAUCUUAAUCACAGACCACACAUGCUGGAGAACGCUGAAAUUACACCAAAACAAGGGCAGAGUGUCUUGUGUAAGCAGUUUUUC